AUUGAACGCUGGCGGCAGGCUUAACACAUGCAAGUCGAGCGAGCGGCGGACGGGUGAGUAAUGUAUGGGGAUCUGCCUGAUAGAGGGGGAUAACUACUGGAAACGGUAGCUAAUACCGCAUACUAUCAGAUGAGCCCAGAUGGGAUUAGCUAGUAGGUGGGGUAAUGGCUCACCUAGGCGACGAUCCCUAGCUGGUCUGAGAGGAUGACCAGCCACACUGGGACUGAGACACGGUCCAGACUCCUACGGGAGGCAGCAGUGGGGAAUAUUGCACAAUGGGCGCAAGCCUGAUGCAGCCAUGCCGCGUGUAUGAAGAAGGCCUUAGGGUUGUAAAGUACUUUCAGCGGGGAGGCGUUACCCGCAGAAGAAGCACCGGCUAACUCCGUGCCAGCAGCCGCGGUAAUAC
rnacentral:rRNA from 1 species